GACGAACGCUGGCGGCGUGCCUAAUACAUGCAAGUCGAACGCAGUGGGGACGGGUGAGUAACACGUGGGUAACCUCCCAUCAGAGGGGAUAACACUUGGAAACAGGUGCUAAACCGAUACUGAUGGAUGGACCCGGGGUGCAUUAGCUAGUUGGUGAGGUAACGGCUCACCAAGGCCACGCUGCAUAACCGGCCUGAGAGGGGGAUCCGCCACACUGGGAAUGAGACACGGCCCAUGCUCCUCCGGGAGGCAGCAGUAGGGAAUCUUUCGCAAUUGACGGAAGUCUGACCGAGCAACGCCGCGUGAGGGAAGAAGGGUUUCGGAUCGUAAAACUCUGUUGUUUGGGAAGCGGUAUCUAAACAAGAAGCCCCGGCUAACUACGUGCCAGCAGCCGCGGUAAUUC
rnacentral:rRNA from 1 species